AGUCUUCACAUCUCAGCCUUCCAAGUAGCUGUGACUAGAGCUUGUGACAGUCCAGCCCCUUCAGCCUGGAGUUCCACCUACCAGUCCCCACAUGUGCUGUCUCUCACCAAGGUUGCCAGUGACCUCCUACCAAAACAAUCUUUGGCUCCCCAUCACUGGCCUGUCCUAUGGGAAAACAUUUGCAUUCCUUAACUCAGCCUAGAAGGCCUCUGUGACUUGCUGUCUACUUAUCUGGCCCUUCUCAUGCUUCCUUUCUGGCUGUAGCAACCUUGAAGAUAUCGUACUUCCCCAAACCCACCUGCUGCUUCUUGCCUUUUUUCAUGCGGACUCCUCUGUCUGGAAUAUCUUCUACAUGCAGCAACCGUAACCCAACCUCCACACUGCAGAGAAGUGGCUCGUCUCAGGCCAAUUCCUGGUCAUCCUUUUAGAUUCAGCCCAGGCUGGGCGCGGUAGCUCAUGCCGGUAACCCCAGCACUUUGGGAGGCCGAGGCGGGCAGAUCACGAGGUCAGGAGUUCGAGACCAGCCUGGGCAACAUAGUGAAACCCUGUCUCUACUAAAAAUACAAAAAUUAGCCAGGCAUGGUGGUGCACGCUUGUAGUCCCAGCUACUUGGGAGGCUGAGGCAGGAGAAUCACUUGACCCCAGGAGGCAGAGGUGAGCUGAGAUCACGCCACUGCACUCCAGCCUAGGCAUCAGAGCAAUACUCCGUCUCAAAAAAGAAAGAUUCAGCCCAGUGUGAAGGUGUGAACCUCUUCUAGGACAUGAAAAGAUUCAGCCCAGGUGUGAACCUCUUCUAGGAGAUGCUCCUUUCCUAACUGCUUGAACCCCGGAUAGGAGUCCUAUUCUUUUUACUCCUAUAGUACUUUCUUU
rnacentral:lncRNA from 1 species